rnacentral:rRNA from 1 species
CAGCCGCCACGGGAAUACGGAGGGGGCUAGCGUUGUUCGGAAUUACUGGGCGUAAAGCGUACGUAGGCGGCUUUGUAAGUUAGAGGUGAAAGCCUGGAGCUCAACUCCAGAAUUGCCUUUAAGACUGCAUCGCUUGAACGUCGGAGAGGUGAGUGGAAUUCCGAGUGUAGAGGUGAAAUUCGUAGAUAUUCGGAAGAACACCAGUGGCGAAGGCGGCUCACUGGACGACUGUUGACGCUGAGGUACGAAAGCGUGGGGAGCAAACAGGAUUAGAUACCCCUGUAGUCCCUGUCUCUUAUAC